rnacentral:tRNA from 1 species
UGUCCUGUGGUGUAAUGGUAGCACAUCAGUUUCUGGCACUGCUUGUUAGGGUUCGAGUCCUUACAGGACAA